rnacentral:rRNA from 1 species
ACUCCUACGGGAGGCAGCAGUGAGGAAUAUUGGACAAUGGGCGAGGGCCUGAUCCAGCCAUGCCGCGUGCAGGAAGAAUGCCCUAUGGGUAGUAAACUGCUUUUAUACGGGAAGAAAAGGGGCACGUGUGCCCUGUUGACGGUACCGUAAGAAUAAGGACCGGCUAACUCCGUGCCAGCAGCCGCGGUAAUACGGAGGGUCCGAGCGUUAUCCGGAAUUAUUGGGCGUAAAGCGCAUGCAGGCGGCCUGUUAAGUCAGAUGUGAAAGCCCGGGGCUUAACCUCGGAAUUGCAUUUGAAACUGGCAGGCUAGAGUCUUGUAGAGGGGGGUAGAAUUUCAGGUGUAGCGGUGAAAUGCGUAGAGAUCUGAAGGAAUACCAGUGGCGAAGGCGGCCCCCUGGACAAAGACUGACGCUCAGAUGCGAAAGCGUGGGGAGCAAACAGGAUUAGAUACCCUGGUAGGAUACCG